rnacentral:rRNA from 1 species
GAUGAACGCUGGCGGCGUGCCUAAUACAUGCAAGUCGAGCGAACGGACUAGAAGCUUGCUUCUCUGAUGUUAGCGGCGGACGGGUGAGUAACACGUGGAUAACCUACCUAUAAGACUGGGAUAACUUCGGGAAACCGGAGCUAAUACCGGAUAAUAUUUUGAACCUCAUUGUUCAAAAGUUAAAGACGGUCUUUCUGUCACUUAUAGAUGGAUCCGCGCUGCAUUAGCUAGUUGGUAAGGUAACGGCUUACCAAGGCAACGAUGCAUAGCCGACCUGAGAGGGUGAUAGGCAAAAAGGGAAAUGAGAAAGGGAAAAGAAACGAAGGGGAGGCAGCAGUAGGAAAACUGCCGAAAGGGGCGAAAGGGUGAAGGAGAAACGCGGGGGGAGUGAGGAAGGUCUGCGGAUGGUAAAACUCUGUUAUUAGGGAAGAAAAUAUGUGAAAGUAACUGUGAACAUAUUGACGGUACGUAAACAGAAAGCCACGGCUAACUACGU